rfam:Enterobius vermicularis genome assembly, scaffold: EVEC_scaffold0004078
GGUAUCGUCCUACCUGCACAAUAUUAGAGUUUAGAAGUGCUUCUAAUACUGUCAGGUAAUGACGAUAGCC